UAAUAGCGUAUAUUAAAGUUGUUGCAGUUAAAAAGCUCGUAGUCGGAUGUCGGGCUCGGGGAGGCUGUCGGCCUUCGGUCGGACGGCAUGUCCGGGCCUUUCUGCCUGGGGAUCCUACUCUACUUAACUGUAGGGUAGUGGGACGCAGGCCGUUUACUUUGAAAAAAUUAGAGUGUUCAAAGCAGGCCUAGGUUUGAAUACAUUAGCAUGGAAUAAUGGAAUAGGACUUUGGUCUUAUUUGUUGGUUUAUGGGACCGAAGUAAUGAUUAACAGGGACAGUUGGGGCCGUUUAUAUUUCGUUGUCAGAGGUGAAAUUCUUGGAUUUACGAAAGAUAAACUUCUGCGAAAGCAUUCGGCAAGGAUGUUUUCAUUG
rnacentral:rRNA from 1 species